UGGCUAUGUAAAUGAAUUAUAUGAUGUUUUAAUCAGCUUAUUAGUUCUCAAAGGUGGCUAAUGUAUGGAAGUAUGCUGUUACAUUGCCAGAACCCACAACCAGAAGACAUUUCUUUAGUGUUAUUCAGAAAUAGUGCUUUAGCAAGGUACACACUGUCAAGUUUGAUGAUAAAAUAUGAUAAUUCCCUGAAUAUAACCAGAGGCAACAUACAGCAAACCACACAGUCUACAAUUCUCAGGUUCUCAGGAGUAAGCACAGUGGCUCUGCCAGAAAGGAAGGAAUACAUCUCAAACAUGGGAAUAUCAGGAAGGAAGAGAGGUAGACCCCAAAUUCCAUUCUGAAAACAUUUUUGGAGCAACACCCAGAUCAGCACGUGUGCAGGAGAUCCAAUCUGGAGGAGCUGAGAUUUGGUUAACUGUGGAGAUGUUAUUUUCAUUGAGAUAGUAAGCGUGUUCUGCAGCAUCCAGGCUGUUGACACCCAAAGAACAAAGGACAUUUGUGACUGAGUUUAACUGAGUUUAUUGCUUGACAUGGGAACGCUAUGAUGGUGCAUCACAAUAAGAAAAAUUACAGUUCAGUUGAGACUUGCGAUUGUUAACACAAAAGUAAAAAACUGAAAAGCCCCAAAUUUGAGUUUCUCUGAUACUGAUUUCUCUAUUUCUUGGGCUCUUAACAAAAGUUACAGGCUUACAUUAUUGAGUGCUGGCAUUACUAGAUUAUUUUCAAACAGAAAUAUUAUUUAUGGCUCAGGAC
rnacentral:lncRNA from 1 species